UUUGACACUCGAAUUUGAAUAUUAUUUCAAAGAACAUACAUUUUUAGCAUCUCUGCUUUCAAUUUUAUACUUUCUCACGUUUUCAUCUGUGGUUACUGGGCAGUUCCAUGGAUUUCAUCUAUGCACGUGUUUAUGGGACCAACAGUACCGAUGAAUUUUAAGAAUAUUACCAUUAGAGGGCAACGGAUUUAUUCAUGCAGGGUGUUUGCCUACGUCAAGGGAACUGUGAUAUCAGUAUUACUUGUAUUUAUUAACUGUACUGAGUCACUGCAUGUAUUGGUUAGAAUUAUGGCAGGCAGAGGAUUAAAAUGUCCCCAUGUCAGUAAUAUUUCCGAUUUCGACCAUAGUGAUGUUGAGAGAGCAAAAGAGGUAUCACGGUGUUCAGAAUGUGAUUCUUCAGGUCCUAAUCUAUGGCUGUGUCUACAUCAUGGAUGCUAUAAGAUUGGCUGCGGAGAAGCACAUAAUGAUCAUAGCACCUUGCAUAACAGGAGUUGUCACAACCAUUACAUUCAAUUGAACUUGUCUACAAACCGAUUGUGGUGUUAUCAGUGUGAGAAUGAAGUAUUCUUGGAGCAUGAUAUAAGCCAUAGUCGAUCAAAUAGUUGUGUCAUGAGCCCUAUGUCAACACACUGCAGUCCUAAAACAUUUGGGGCUGCAGGUGAAUGUGGUGACAGCAGUGACAGUGAAGACAGCUGCGAUGGCAGUGGAAAACCAAGAGGUCUUACAGGAUUACAAAACAUUGGCAACACUUGCUACAUGAACUCAGCACUUCAGGCACUGUCCAACACACCACCACUCACACAGUUUUUUUUAGAUUGUGGUGCAUCUCUAGUUGCUGCCAGUUGUGGUAGUGAAAAGAAGCCUGGAUUGUCCAAGAGUUACCAUAGGCUUGUGCAAGAGAUGUGGCAUCGCAGACGCCCAGGAUAUGUUGUUCCUUCAGGAAUCUUGUAUGGCAUUCGUAAUAAGGUUCACCCAAUGUUCCGGGGCUAUCAACAGCAUGACACGCAGGAAUUCCUGCGUUGUUUUAUGGAUCAGUUGCAUGAAGAAUUGAAGGAACCUCUCCCAGAAUCUGCUGUGUCAAGUGUCUCUGCUGCUGCAACUAGCUCUGACAAUAAUUCUCAAAGUAUGGGAGGAAAGUCAUUGGGUUCUGGGUCCUUGGAAGAGAUUUCAGAUGAAGAUGAAGAUCAGGAUGAUGGAGAAGAUGGCACUGGAGGUGGUGGGGGUGUGUCCAGUCAGUCGGAGGGGGAAUACGAGACUUGUGAUUCAGGUGUUAGUGAACGGAGCUCACUAAGUGAUGAAGGCGAGCAUGAUGGCAGCAGUGGAAGUAGAAGUGCAAGUAAGCGCAAGCUAUCACGGUCACCUUCCCCACCACCAGAACGUUUACGAUCAAAGCUAACUGCAGCUGGCUCCAAGAACUCUGGUAGUGUGCCCUCAUCUCAGGCUCUUACCUCUGUUGGAACUUCUGGGGGUGGUCCCAACACAGCAAAUUCUAGCCCAGUCUCUGUUCCUGGUUCUCCACAGAGGGCAAUGUCAAGGGGAAAGAAGACACCAGUGAAGCAUCGUUCCAUUAUAUCAGAUGUGUUUGAUGGAAAGCUGCUGAGCUCUGUACAGUGCCUUACCUGUGACAGGAUCUCAACACGUGUGGAGACAUUCCAAGACUUAUCAUUGCCAAUUCCAAGCAGGGAUCAUAUUCACAUGCUUCAUCAAGGUACAUUGACUCCUCAGCAGAAAGGAGGUCUUUCUGCUUGUUCAGACGUGUACUCAGGAGACCAGGGUUGGGUGACAUGGUUAUGGGAGUGGGUCCGUAGUUGGUUCUGGGGUCCCACAGUCAGCCUCCAUGAUUGUUUGGCUGCUUUUUUCUCAGCAGACGAGCUUAAAGGUGAUAACAUGUACAGCUGUGAAAAAUGCAACAAGCUGAGAAACGGAGUGAAGUACUCAAAAGUAUUGGAGCUACCAGAAGUUUUGUGCAUUCACUUAAAGAGGUUCCGUCAUGAGUUGAUGUUCAGUGCUAAGAUCUCUAGUUAUGUGGCUUUUCCUUUAGAAGGGCUUGAUAUGCGACCAUAUUUACAUAAAGAUUGUGUUUCUCAAGUUACAAGCUAUAACCUGGUGUCUGUAAUCUGUCAUCAUGGGACAGCAGGUGGUGGCCAUUACACGUGUUACUCAUUGAACUGUAUAUCGGAGCAGUGGUUUGAAUUUGAUGACCAGUAUGUCACACAGGUCCCUCCAGAGACUGUCCAAAACUGUGAAGCAUAUGUUCUCUUCUACAAGAAAUGCGGCGCUGCUGCAGCCAAACUACGACACAGGGCCGUGGAACUUAUGGAAUUGUCACAUCAUGAGCCCAGCCUUAUGCAGUUUUAUGUAUCAAAGCAAUGGGUAAACAAGUUCAACACCUUUGCAGAACCUGGUCCCAUUGACAACUCUGAUUUCUUGUGUAUUCAUGGAGGUGUUCAUCCAGCAAGGGAACCAUAUGUCAACCAGCUUUGUACUAUUCUGUCUCAGGCUGUAUGGGAGUAUCUCUAUGACACAUUUGGGGGUGGACCAGCAUGCAACCGUUUGUAUGCAUGCCCAACUUGUCAACAAGAGCAAGAAGCCUUAGCUCAUAGAGUGAAACAUGAACUAGAUGUAUUCAUGCAACUGAACAAAGAAUUCCAACAAGCUGAAGAUAGUCCAGUUGUUAUCUAUGCAAUCGCCAUGAACUGGUUUCGUCAGUGGCAGAGUUUUGUCAGGGGGAAGGAACCAGAACCUCCUGGUCAAAUAGACAACUCUUCAAUUUGUACUGUUAAUAAAAAUGGACAGGUGAUUCUAAAAAUGGGUUCAGAUUAUGCUCAGCUGUCUGAAGAACUGUGGUCUUUCUUCCAUCGUGUAUAUGGUGGUGGACCAGAAGUUGUCUUGAGGCCACCAUGCCAAAGAACAGGAACAGGAAGCAGUGUUGGCUGUAAUAAUAGUGGAAGCACUUUGCAGCCUCCCCCAGUGUCAAGGACAGCUCCAGCAGCUCCUGAAUCUCCACUGGGUAUGGCUAAUGCUCACAAGGCAUGUAGCAUAGAAAAUAUUGCCACAAGUCAUGUUGGAGCUUCAGGAAUGUCAGGAGGCUUCGGAACUGUAUUUCACCCAGCUGGGCGAGCCCAGAGUGUAAGCUCAGACAACAUUACUGUAAGAAUGGCUGCUCUUUCUGCAUCUGGGAACAAGCCAUCAGAAAAUACUGAUUCCAAGGGCCAAGAGACAGGUGAACCAAACACACAGUAUGCAUUUAUAUCUGCUGUACCUGGGUCUCAUAACGAUGAAGGGUCGUGGCGGGUUACUACAAUAGCUUCUUCAACAUCUAUACCAUCAUCAUUAGCUGUAGAUCAAUAUGAAAUAUCUGAUAUUAUGGAUGCUGUCAUAAGUGGGGAGCCACUAGUUGCCAUUAACUGAAAAAUAAGGUAUGUAUUCUUUUAAUAACAGUUACUGGAACAGAGUGAAGUGAUGUGGAAAUGAAACAGCAGUACACCUCUCAGUAUGUGGUUAAAGACGCAGGCACGCUGCUUAGUUUUCUGUCAUUUGCUUAGCAGGUUACCAUAUUUAUAAAAAUACUACUCAGACUUUCUUUAUUUGUGCUUUAAAAUUCAAAAUGUGUGUCAUAUUUAGUUACUAUUCGUUUCUGACCAGUAAUGAGCAAGUUGAUGAAACUUAGAACAAAGGCAUCUUAUAUGCCAGCAUUUCAUCCACCACUAAUGUUACAGUUAUCUUGUCAUUAUGUGGUUACCAGAGAUUCAUCCUUUAACACAUGGUACACCACAAGAAGAUUUAGGAUGGCAUUUAACGAGAAGAGACUACUUGUGUUGUACCAGGAAGUGUGCUCAUGUGACUGCAGGUUUGCUGUUGUUUUUUUAGGAAUAUCUAAAAAUAAUAAAGAAUGAAAAUUCCUGUUAUGCAGUACAAACAGCAAACAUUUCCCAACCAUCUGUGCCAUGUAGAUAUAUGUGGAGUAUUGAUUUAAUUAAUCUGAUAACUGCUGCUAAACUCUGAUCUGAUUGUCAAGAAAAUAUGUAGUGAAGGGCAUUAGAAGCCCUCAUGCAACUAAAGUGGAAAGUAUCAGUGUUGUGUAAAUUUUAGGUGUAUCUGAAGGUCAGAUAAUUACACUGUUAUCAUAUAAAAGGUACAGAUACAAAAUUAAAAUAAUGUGUUACUUUUGUUCUCUAUUUGAAGUUGAAUUUUUAAUAUCUCCAAUAAAAUAAUUGUGCAAAAAACAGUGUAAGAGUGGAUUUUAUUAAAUGACUGGUAAGUUUAAGUUAUGUUUCUGGAUCUCUAUGCUGCUGUUAGAAUGGGUCAGACUGAAUUGGACAAUUAAAGUAGCAUUGUGGAAGAGGAUGUUUGUUAAGGGUAAUGGAUUCAUGUAGUCUAUCUGAGCCAAGGAACAGUGAUAUUUUAUUGCUUUAAAGGUUUUCUUUUACCCCAGUUACAUUAGAUGAACAGUGUCAGUGAAAUAGACUGAUUCAUUCUUCUUUUAUGGCUCUCCAGUCCAUAUUCGGUCCAUGGCCGCCUCAAUUCUCCUCUUCCAUUCGGUCCUAUCCUCCGCUGCCUUCUUCUGUUAGGUCGGUCUGUCCGAGGCUUUGAUUGAGGUUUCGAAACAUCAUCCUUUUUACGGUGCAAGGUUGUUAGCCUUGCGACCAACCCCUAACCUGGAGGACCAGGGUACCUGUCUUAGUCUGACCUCUCCCCCUCGACCAAUCUGGCUAGGGAGGCCCUACAUCAUUAAUCCAAUUAAUAAGAGUGUCAGUUGGAAAUGGUUAAUAAGAACAACUUUAUCUUCAGUCAUAUUUUGGUAGAAGACUUCUAUUACCUGAUGUCUGAAUCCUUAUAAUAUGUGUUUUUUUACUUUGUAACACUGAAGUUUUUGUCUCCAGUUUUACAGGCAUGAACUCAUGAGUUCUCAGGAUGUUUUGCUAUAUGAGAGACUAAACAUAAAUUUACUGCCAAGGUCUUUACUACUUUAAUACAGAAAGAACAAUUGGCUUAAGUGCCUGACUCUUUCAUUCCUUUAAUUGAAAUAUGCCUGGCUGUAAAAUGGAGCAAUUGUUGAAUAUUCCUGUAUAGCUUUCAUUUAAUUUUAUCUUCAACAUUAACUCGUUAGACAUUUACCAGAUGCAAGGUAAGGGUUUGUGAUUCACUUCAAUCACACUUUCUUAUGCAGUUAUAAUUUAUGCCAAAGAUUUACCUUUUUACAUAUAUAAAUCAAUUUCAGUAAGAUAUUUAUGGAGAAAUAUGUUCAAGCUAUGAUUUUUUGUGUUUAAUUCAUAUCUUUUAAGUUCAGAUAAUUCCUGUUAUAACACUUUUGUUAAAUGUAUGUACCUGUAGAUUUUUCAUGUAAUUUUCUUGUGUUUGGUGCCAGUAUUUAAAAUUUGUAUUGCAGUCAUAAUAAUGUACUGCAAUCAGUUCAUUAGAUGAUACCAAAAAGAAUGCAUUGACAUUCCAUGAAUUUAAACAGACUUUAACUUUUUGUUUUAUUUAUGUUAUGGAGACUGUAUAGAACAAAUGUUUAAUAUUCAUGACUUUGUGUACUUGAUUGGAUAUUGAUUUAUUCAUAUGUUAAUAAAAUUAUGUAUUUCAUGAGUGAAAUCAGAUGUGUCAUACUUGAAAAGUGCUAUACUUCCACUGUGCUUAACGCUCAUGGAAAAGUGUAUUCAGCUGUUUAUUGUUUUAUGUUGCAGUGGUGUAUUUCAGUGGAACUGAACAUAAUGUUGAUGGUGGUAGUGUAUAAUAUGGUAUUUAAUGAGACAUACUUUGUGAAUCAGUAGUUUUAUGUAGUAAAUUUUUCAUGUAUUGAUCAUUAGAAACAGUUUAUUUUUCCAAAUCCAUUGUUCUGAAAAUUUGUAUGGUCUUCACUGCAAAGCUCAUAAGUUUUAUUUUUUGUUGGGGGCCAGCAACUCUGAAUUAGAACUGGAAUAUAACGUUUAGUUAUUGUCUGAUUUUUACUGUUAAAGUUGGUUGAAUGUAAUCUAUGUAAAUCAUUGUCAUUUAUAAUUUUCCAUGUGUUGCUGUGAACUGACUGUUAGUGGCAUAUGAUUCAUUCUUAUUACACAUAUAAAGUAACAAACUCUAGGCACUUGGGGGAGAAGCGGUAUAGCUCAUACUCAUUCUUGACCUCAGCACUAGAUAGAGUGGUCAGUAUCAAGUCCUGCUUAUUACACAUAUACCUCUAAGUGAUUACUUCACUGCUGCUAGCUAUAUACUCUAUUGCAUCAAACUAUUGUUCCAAAAUCACCAGGCAUACUCAGCUGUAUAAAAUUCCACUUAACUGUUUUUGGCAGUUGUUUUAUUGAAGUGAGAUGCCCUCAGUACUCGCAGAUGAUGGAUGUCCUUAUGGAUAACAAAUUUGCCAUGUUUUUAGAAUUAAAUUAUUCCUAAGGUAUUAAAUAAUUUGCUUGGAAUUGAGAACUGCUUCUCCUCUUUAAUAUGAAGUUUUCUACCAUCGUGAACUUUGUAUAUUUUCGUUUUGGCAUCAGUCCCCCCCCCCCCCAAAAAAAAAUGGUCAAAUCAUUAGAUAGGACAAUAAAAAUAUAUUGUAAGAGUUGGAUAAAUCAUUGUAUGUGCUUUGCAUAUUGAUCCAAGGUAGAUGCACAUAUUACUGUUUUGAAGUAACAGCAUCAGUAGUCCUUUGUGCAAGGAAUGACUUAAUUUUAAUUAUAAUUCAGUUUAAUUUAUUCAUAACAACUUAUGGGUUUGUGUUCUCAAAUUUGAUGAUCCCAUUUGUGAAUGUGAAGACAAAGUAUUAGUAUGAUGGAGCCACCUUGAGUUGUUAGAUGGUUGGUAAAGAUGUACGUAGGAUUGUACUAAUUGUGGAUGGCACAUGUGUUAACUGUGUAUACAUCUUAAGCAGAAUUAACAGCAACAAAAUCUCAAGUAUCUUGAAUAAUUCAAGUUUGUUUGAUAUAUUGCCUCCUACUUCCUCAAUCUCUGUUUUCUUAGUAGUGUUUUGUUCCUGAUUACCAAAUAAUGUGACAUGUGUAACUUAAGUAAUGUGGUCACAAAUUUGGAUUUUGGAAUCUUAUUGUAGAAAAAAUUAUCAUUGUAAAAUUAUGAAUAUUGAAAACUGAAAUAGAUAAACGAUUAAAUUUACUUAUUUUGUUUUUGUUCUUCAUUGUGCAAAAGAUAGGAAGAGGAAUUAAUGCAUAUGAUAACUUUUGUACAAUAUAGCAUUUUCAUUACCAUCAGGCAUCACUCUUAUUCUCCAUAUUCUUUACGCAACGCUUUUAUAUACAUAUAAUUAUCUUAAAGCAUCUUCACAGUGAGUGAAUAAGUAUAUCAAUAAAGAAGGUAUGUUACAUACACAGUAAGAAGUUGUAAUGUGACUAAAAAUUAUAUUCUGGUUUGAUGAAGUAUAAUCUUAUGUAAAUGUUAUUUAGUUGUCUGUCCAGUACACCCUGUUUAAUGGUAUAUCGCUGUGUUGGAAAAUACAGCCAUUAUUAAUCAUGGAACAUUACUCAUACUGUAGAGAUGAAUAUUGAGAUUUUGAUGCUGUAUGCAGCACAGAUGUACACUUAAUAUUUCUAGAGUAAUGAUUUGAACUUGCCUAAGUAUUAUAUUCCCCAUGGGCCUUUGCAGAUACUCAGUAUGAAUAUGGUAAUGCUCAACUACAAAUGUGUCUGUUAAUACAGCAAAUUUCAGAUUUAUACAUAUUUAUAUAUGUUGUUUGUGCGCACACUUGUAUUUGGAAUAAAAUGUCUUGUUAUUAUUUUACAACUUUCAGACCUAUGCAUUGGGUAGUAUUUUUGUUCAUCUGCUGUUAAAAUGAAUAUAAAAUACAUGCGCUGGUACUGAAAAAGAGAGUACUUUUUAAAAUAUGGUUUUAAAUGCAUAAAAUAAUUUUUUUGUUAUUAAAAUCCUCCGUACAUCUUUCUAAAGUUUUUACUAUGCAGACAGACAGACGUGUUCCUGAACACAGCCGUCUUCACAUUUGUUGCUGUGAGAACCUGAAAUCACAUAAAUGCUCAUAUUCCUUUGAUUUUAAAUAUGGAGCCACCAGAUUAUGUACAGAAUUGACAGCUACCAGAAAAUGAGAAAUGGCUACAGUAAAAAGUGACUGCUUUCAGGUGAGUGAAGAAGUUAACGUGUAGUGUUUUAGUACAUGUCAUGAAUUUUUAAUUUAGGAAAUUUUCAGCCAAAGGAAUGCACUUUAUGACACCCAUUCAUAAAAUACCAUACACUGGUGUAAUUACUAUAUAUUCUCCUGUCACUAGAAGUUUUGUACAAAUGACAAGAGUUUUUGUAGAAGAAACCAACAAUGUUCAUUCAUUCAUUACAAAAUAAAUCUUAUGGAACUUA